UAUAUAUAAAAGACAGUUUACUCUCUCCUGGGUGCGCCACAUGGGACGCCACGUCACAAAUUCGAAGCAUGUAGGUGCGCCACGUGUCCGCGUACAUAAACCGCAUCGUUUCGUUAAAACAUAAGUAUAAUUGGUUUGGGCUUUUAUUAUAUUUGGGCUUCAUCCGUCUGCGUUAAGGCGACACCACCGUCGUGUCGAUCCAAGUACAGGCCACCGCGUCUUACCAGAAUAGGUGUACGCUUUCAUUCAAUCUCCGUCGUUUACAUUUUCAUUCACUCCAUUAAACCAUCACCUUUAUUAACUCGCAUUCAAUAGCAUCUUCACCUUCCUUGAUGGUUACAAAAGUUAUCCUAUAAAUAAGAAGGUAAGCUUCGCCGAAAUUCAUCAAUCAUCACCUCUCACCCUCAAUCCUCAUAAUACUUUUCUUCAGUAUGAAGGUUUCUUCAGAGAAAUUCUGAUUUAGAUAUGGAGUUUCGAGAUGUUGAAUCGCUUUGUGAAUCUUCAAUCCCAACGUUUUGUCUUCUUUCCUAAUCAACGGAACUUAUCGGGAGAGCUAUUCAACACGAAUCGCGAUCAGUCUGAUGGUGAUUCCCUGGAUCGAAAAGCCUUGCUGUCGUUUCAUCUUGGAGGUAAAGCUUCCAAGAAUAUCAACAAUGACAUAGAACUUGAAUUUUGCUGCUGCGGCAAGGAAGCUCACUGAGAUGGGCCAUCCUGGAUUGGCUGAAACUUUCUACAACCAACGUGUACCCGGAAACGAUUGUGUCUAGCAGAGGAGGUAACAGACGUCUAUGAUGCUGUGAAAACAUGUUCAAAGAUAUCUGCAAGGUUUGCACCGGGUCAAGAGUUAUUCUGUUUCAGUUGAGAUCCUGAAGAAUGCACCAGUUCUUGCGAUUGUUUAUGAGAACUUCUCCGGCUGUGUUUUGCUUAUUGUAGAGAUUUGGGAUGCUCUUUAGCACUGAGGAGCUUGAUAUUUUUGUAAACGAUGGAGCUUUCGGAAUGGUCUAUUAAGUGGUUUCUGAAACUACACAAUAUCAGAGAGUGAAUUUAGCCAAGGUGUGUUAGUCUUGAAAGAUGCUUUGGUUGGACCUUAUGGAGAAAGAUAAGCGCAUUCCAAAAGCAAUAGAAUGUGUCGCUAUAGAAAAAACGGGUAGCUACAGAUUAUUGAUUCAACCCUGAUAAAAAAAGUCCUACAAGGAAGUUAUAUUUCGAUUUUAGGUGGUUUGGUUUGAUUUAGUUGUGUGUUGGUUUGUGUACAAAUUAUAGUGCAACAGUUUCUCAUGCAAUGAGUUGAGAACAUAAAAAAAUAUUCUCAUAGUAAAAACAUAAUUUAA